GCGGUAAACGGUGGAUUGGGUCGUUAUGACGAC
rnacentral:misc_RNA from 1 species